AUUGAACGCUGGCGGCAGGCCUAACACAUGCAAGUCGAGCGGAUGAAGGGAGCUUGCUCCUGGAUUCAGCGGCGGACGGGUGAGUAAUGCCUAGGAAUCUGCCUGGUAGUGGGGGAUAACGUCCGGAAACGGGCGCUAAUAUCGCAUACGUCCUGAGGGAGAAAGUGGGGGAUCUUCGGACCUCACGCUAUCAGAUGAGCCUAGGUCGGAUUAGCUAGUUGGUGGGGUAAAGGCCUACCAAGGCGACGAUCCGUAACUGGUCUGAGAGGAUGAUCAGUCACACUGGAACUGAGACACGGUCCAGACUCCUACGGGAGGCAGCAGUGGGGAAUAUUGGACAAUGGGCGAAAGCCUGAUCCAGCCAUGCCGCGUGUGUGAAGAAGGUCUUCGGACUGUAAAGCACUUUAAGUUGGGAGGAAGGGCAGUAAGUUAAUACCUUGCUGUUUUGACGUUACCAACAGAAUAAGCACCGGCUAACUUCGUG
rnacentral:rRNA from 1 species